CCAACCCAGGGAUUGAACCUGUGUCUCCUGCAUUGUGGGCAGAUUCUUUACUGUCUGAACCACCAGGGAAGCCCACUCUUUCAUGCAUGAGGUCUGAAUUAAUCACAUACACUGGGUUUCUCAAAUUAUGGUAUGAAAAUGCCCCUUUCUAUGUCCUCCACACUCCCCCAUCCCAACUCUCCCAUUCUGGACAUAUCCUAGGAAAGACUCUGUCUCCUCAUAAGGAGAGUUUACUUUUUAAAAAUUUCAUUUACAAAGACACCUAAAAAAUAAUGUGAACACAUUCUGGAUCACCUGAAUUAUUGUUUAGUCACUAAGUUGUGUCUGAAUCAUCUGAAUAACUGUGCUAUAACUGAGUACAGUUAGGCCAUUUCAGGGCUCCUCUCUGCUUUAUUAUUAUUAUCAGAAACACAUAAAAUUUGCCAUCUGAACCAUUUUUAAGUGUGCAGAUUAACCAAAUGUGCAUUGUUGUGUUACAUAUCUCUAGGACUUCUUUAUCUUAUACAACUGAAACUGUCCAUUGACCACUCCCCUCCUCCACCUCCCCCCACUUCCUGGAAGACACCGUCUACUUUCUGUCUCUGAGCAUUCGACCGUUUUGGACUUCUCAUAUCCUCCAGCUUCAUCCAUGUUGUAGCAUGUCGACUUGCCUUCAAGUUCACGAAUUCAUCUGCUUGAUUGACUCUCCUGUUAAAUCUUUUUAGUGAAUUUUUCAAUCCAUUUACUGAAUUCUUAAGCUCUGGUAUGUCUGUUUAGUUCUUUUUAAGAGUGUCUUAUCUCCUAAUGUUCUCAUUUUUUACAUGGAUUAUUUUCCUGAUUUCAUUCAGUUGUCUAUCUGUGUUGUCGUGAAGUACUUGACUUCCAUAAGAUGAUUACUUUGAAUUCUUUGUCAGGUAAUUCAUAGAUCUCCAUCUCUUUAGUGUCAUUUUCUGGAGAAUUUGUUCCUUCAGUUUGGCCCGAAUUUCCCUGUUUCUUCAUAUACGUUAUUAUUAUUAUUAUUUGUCAUGAUAGAAAAAAACCCAGACACUUUCACCAGUCGUUAUAUAGCCUGGCCUCAUACAGGGGAAGGCCUUCACCAAUCAAUUUGGGUAGAGACUCUGGGGACCUCUCAAGCCUUAGCAGCAGCAGCAUCUCUGGAAUUGUGUGUGCCAUUUCCCCAACGAGAGGUAUUUGCUGGUUUCCUUUUCAGGAGUUUGUGAUUUCUUGCUCCCUCUGGUGUUUCUCUGUGGUACUACAGGUGCUGCUCUCCCCGGCCCCCAAACAUCCAAGUUUUGGAGAGUCAGAAACCCUAGGACCAAUUGACCAUCAUCGAGAAAACUGCCAAGGGACAGCGUAUGUCAUUGUGACGUGUAACUGGAUUGUGAUGGCGCUGUAUCAAAAGAACGCACAGUAAACUCCACUGCAUUCUU